AUACAUCAAGUCCUUAACUAAAACCUCAGAAGACAAUUUUAGUACUCUUUGGUAUUCAAAAGGACCAUAGAAAACACCAUGUUUAACUAUUCCUCUUAAGGAUAUCGCCUCAAAGAUAUAAACCUUAAUAAAGUGAAAAUCAAUAAUCUCAAAAA